rnacentral:rRNA from 1 species
CAGCAGCCGCGGUAAUACGAAGGGGGCUAGCGUUGUUCGGAAUUACUGGGCGUAAAGGGCGCGUAGGCGGCCAUUCAAGUUAGAUGUGAAAGCCCUGGGCUCAACCUAGGAAUUGCAUUUGAUACUGUUUGGCUUGAGUUCGGGAGAGGUGAGUGGAAUUCCCAGUGUAGAGGUGAAAUUCGUAGAUAUUGGGAAGAACACCAGUGGCGAAGGCGGCUCACUGGGCCGACACUGACGCUGAGGCGCGAAAGCGUGGGGAGCAAACAGGAUUAGAUACCCCGGUAGUCCCUGUCUCUUAUAC